UGGCUCAGAACGACGCUGGCGGCAUGCCUAACACAUGCAAGUCGAACGAGACUUCGGUCUAGUGGCGGACGGGUGAGUAACGCGUAGGAACCUGCCAAGCAGUGGGGGAAUAACAGCUGGAAACGGCUGCUAAUACCGCAUACGCCCUUCGGGGGAAAGAUUUAUCGCUGUUUGAGGGUCCUGCGUUCGAUUAGCUAGUUGGUGAGGUAACGGCCCACCAAGGCGACGAUCGAUAGCUGGUCUGAGAGGAUGAUCAGCCACACUGGGACUGAGACACGGCCCAGACUCCUACGGGAGGCAGCAGUGGGGAAUAUUGGACAAUGGGGGAAACCCUGAUCCAGCAAUGCCGCGUGCGUGAAGAAGGCCUUAGGGUUGUAAAGCGCUUUCACCUGUGAUGAUGAUGACAGUAGCAGGAGAAGAAGCCCCGGCUAACUCCGUG
rnacentral:rRNA from 1 species